rnacentral:lncRNA from 1 species
CUCUUAUAUCAAAGAAAUUGUACAUAUUCAUUCAUUUAGAUAUCAUGAUAUCAUAUGUAAUCCUGUAAAUAAUGCCAUUGUAUCAGACAUCUGUAGGGGUAUUUUAGUAGAAUUUUUUUAAGGAUGUAUAUACACAGCAAGUUAGCCUCGUAUACCGUCUCAUCUUGAGUAUCAAACUGAAAAUAUUGAUUAUAACAAGCAAAGUUUAACCUUCAUUCCAUCAUUUGAUAAUAUCUGGUACAUAAUAUAUUGACAGUUUUCAAUAGUCCCAGAUGGUGUUUAUCUUGUAUAUAUGUACAAAAAAAUGUGCUUUCUUUCCAUUUUUGUUUUUGUUUUAACAUUUAAAGCAUUUACGUCACUAAAUUCUUGUAGGUUUAAACAAAAAAAAGUUUUCUUCGUUGCUGUUUGAUCAAUUUUGUAAAUGUAUAUUAUAUAUAUAUAUAGCUGUUUGUCCGAUUAUUGUUACAGCCAUUGUAGUGUUUGUAUAUUGAUUCACAAACUUCGGAGGCUUACGGCACGGAG